rnacentral:rRNA from 1 species
UAGGGAAUCUUCGGCAAUGGGGGCAACCCUGACCGAGCAACGCCGCGUGAGUGAAGAAGGUUUUCGGAUCGUAAAGCUCUGUUGUAAGAGAAGAACGUGUGUGAGAGUGGAAAGUUCACACAGUGACGGUAACUUACCAGAAAGGGACAGCUAACUACGUGCCAGCAGCCGCGGUAAUACGUAGGUCCCGAGCGUUGUCCGGAUUUAUUGGGCGUAAAGCGAGCGCAGGCGGUUUAAUAAGUCUGAAGUUAAAGGCAGUGGCUUAACCAUUGUUCGCUUUGGAAACUGUUAAACUUGAGUGCAGAAGGGGAGAGUGGAAUUCCAUGUGUAGCGGUGAAAUGCGUAGAUAUAUGGAGGAACACCGGUGGCGAAAGCGGCUCUCUGGUCUGUAACUGACGCUGAGGCUCGAAAGCGUGGGGAGCAAACAGG